rnacentral:rRNA from 1 species
UACGUAGGGUGCGAGCGUUGUCCGGAAUUAUUGGGCGUAAAGGGCUCGUAGGCGGUUUGUCGCGUCGGGAGUGAAAUCCACUGGCUUAACUGGUGGCUUGCUUUCGAUACGGGCAGACUGGAGGUAUGCAGGGGAGAACGGAAUUCCUGGUGUAGCGGUGAAAUGCGCAGAUAUCAGGAGGAACACCGGUGGCGAAGGCGGUUCUCUGGGCAUGUCCUGACGCUCAGGUGCGAAAGCUAGGGGAGCGAACAGG